UUUUUUUGGAGCUUUUCCGGUAGUCAAUCUAAUCCCAAAGACCAGCCGAUCAAGUAUGCCGCUCCUCGUGCCCUUCCCUCCGCCUUGAGCCCUCUCCUCUACCCACGCGGCUUCGUCUUCACCUGCAGCCUCCUCCUCCUCCGCGACGCCGCGCCGCACGAGUUCGUGCCGCGACCGUUCACCGCGUGGUAGGUCUUCCUAGGGCUCAAGUCGGGGCAGGAGAGGAGAGCGAGGUUGUAGCUGGAGUUCCUGUUUACCUCCUUAAACUCAAAAUCACGUUCACCUGACCCAAGUUCCCUAUUUGUUUCCCAAGGUUCCGGCUUUCGUGGAAGCAGGAGGGGUAGUGGAUCGGGCGUCGAAGACGAAGAGAGUCGGGGCUUAUUACAACGGCUCCGAAGAGGUGGUCUUCUAACACUUUUUUCGGGUGUCCUACUGUUCUGAGGCUCAGGUUUCAACAUGUCAAGGUACUAGGACCUUCGAGAGCCGCUUGACUUUCUCGGUUUACCAAGUCUUCAACGAUGUUAAACGUUAAAGUAUCUCGUUUCCGUACUCCACGUUGGUUUAAAAUCUUCCAACGAAACACGGUUUAAUGCUUCCGAAUAUCCGCACUUGUUUCAACUCUUCUAACUAUUCAGGAUAUUCGACUGCCUAAGUAUACGUUUUUCCCGAGACCGAGGUUACUUUCUAGGUAGAGAUUUCUUCUUCCUAAGUCGGUUCAGUAGGUUCCGUCGUUUCCCAGAUCCGGUCAGCUCAGGACGUGACCUGCGUCGACUUCGACGUCGCUACUUUCAUCGCCUGCGCCUCCGGUUUAGCGUGGAGCGUUUGCUCGUGUACUACCUCCAACUUUCCUAGCCGUUCUACCGGCUCCUCUGGCUCAGAGAGGAGCUCGAGCGGAGUCUCGAGAUGCUCGCUACAAGUUCUCCUCUCCGCGAGUGUUAUGACGUUCACCGCGUGUCCCUCAAAACUACCACAACAGCUGGGGCAGUCGACGCGCGGCUGUAGACGAGAGAACAUGUACCUACCUACCUUCGCAACCGGGUCGGACAACAGAAGAACAGGCGCACAACAGAGACAACAUAGUAUUGAGCUUAGUUAAGCAACCAACAUGGACUCUCCCGUACGGAAAGUAACGGAUCCUUACUAAAACUCAACCACGUAAAACCUAUGACAGGACACAACUUCAGUCCCUUAUUACACAUAGAGCAGGACGGCGGAAAAGGACAUACAUGAGAUUACGUUCAAACCAGUAUACGAGGGAGGAACCG
rnacentral:rRNA from 1 species